rnacentral:rRNA from 1 species
UACGAAGGAUGCGAAGCGUUAUCCGGAUUUAUUGGGUUUAAAGGGAGCGUAGGCGGCCUUAUAAGUCAGUGGUGAAAUCUCGUUGCUUAACAACGAACGUGCCAUUGAUACUGUAGGGCUUGAGUACAGAUGCCGUUGGCGGAAUGUGUCAUGUAGCGGUGAAAUGCAUAGAUAUGACACAGAACACCGAUUGCGAAGGCAGCUGACGAAACUGUAACUGACGCUGAGGCUCGAAAGCGUGGGGAUCAAACAGG